rnacentral:rRNA from 1 species
UACGUAGGGUGCGAGCGUUGUCCGGAAUUAUUGGGCGUAAAGAGCUUGUAGGCGGUUUGUCGCGUCUGCUGUGAAAAUCCGGGGCUCAACCCCGGACUUGCAGUGGGUACGGGCAGACUAGAGUGUGGUAGGGGAGACUGGAAUUCCUGGUGUAGCGGUGGAAUGCGCAGAUAUCAGGAGGAACACCGAUGGCGAAGGCAGAUCUCUGGGCCGUAACUGACGCUGAGGAGCGAAAGCACGGGGAGCGAACAGG